GUCUCUUCAAAGACAUCCGAUAUAACUAGAACAAAUAGUGAAGAUUAGCAUGGCCCAUGCACAAAGACCCUAGGUUCAAAAUACAUAUUGAUGCAUUUUUU